ensembl:lncRNA
GAAGCCGCCAUUUUCUCAGCGUGAAAGAAGCGAGAAGCGAGUGAAAGACAUUACGAACUCAAACCAACUUUGGAGUUGUCUGAUUUGGAGAGUCAUCAUUCUUGGUCUUCCCUCUUAAGGGAAUAGUUCACACAAAAAAUCAUUUAGUUGCCCUCAUGUCAUUCCAAACCUAUACGACUUUUGUCUGUCUUUAGAAUACAAAUGAAUAUAUUUUGAAUUUUCUCAGAUUUUUGUUAAUCCAUUGAGAGUCUAGAUAGUCAGUAUUUUCAAACCUCAUAAAUACAGAGUUAUUGUAGAAGUAAUCCAUUCCGAUAUUUAUAUAUGAUUAAAUCUUAAAUUAUAUGAUAGCAAACACGUAUGUUCAAAAUAAAAUAUUGGUCUCCCAGACUUACAAUGGAGGACAAAAAUUAAUAGAAUAUUAAAUAUAUUUAUUUGUGUUCCAAAAAUUAGCAGAGUUUGUAUGAGUCUGGAACAACAUGGGGGAGUAAAUUAUGACCAUUUUCAUUUUUUGGUGGACUAACCCUUUGAAGAGCAGCCCUCAACGUACAUGAACAUUUGUGAGGCCACUGAUGACGAACAGGUGGUGACUGGGAUGAAUGCUGGUCAAAGAAGAGAAUGUCCUUUCCCCUAAACUGAUGCAACAGUGGUUUUAAAGGAGGACGCUGCCCUGGGUGAUGUAGAUGUCACAUGUGCUGAUGGGGCUUCUUCAUGACUACAUCAGUUAUGCUAAAGAGAUCAUGAAAGUUGACAGUGAUGCAUGAUCUGUAUUCAUGGACUGUGAAACAAACUGUAAGUGUAUAAUUUGUAAAAACAAAAUGUUAAAUGCUUGUUCUGUGUUGUUUAGUAAAAGAGUUUACACUCUGUCAUUCAUACACAUGCUCACAUUCUUUCACACACACACGCGCGCCUCUGUUAAAUGUUAUAAU